CAAAUAUGCAAGCAUAUGUUUCAUGCUUGUUUGAGUAAUAGCAAUGAGAUUCCCCAGGUGACACACGUGCUACAAUGGCCGGGACAAAGGGUCACGAUCCUGUGAGGGUGAGCUAACUCCAAAACCCGUCCUCAGUUCGGAUUACAGGUUGCAACUCGCCUGCAUGAAGCCAGAAUUGCUAGUAAUCACCGGUUAGCCAUACGGCAGUGAAUUCAUUCCUG
rnacentral:ncRNA from 1 species